rnacentral:pre_miRNA from 1 species
UCUUCAUUCCGCGUACUCUCUCGCCGGUCAGAGCGACGAGAGAGUACGCAAAAGGGAGAGA